GCCACCAAAUACAUCCACAAUACAUCUUUUUUUAUAAAACGAAGAAAAGAAUAAUGAACUGGUCGAUUGAUGAAUUAGAAACAAAUCUGUCCGGAAAGAAGCUCCACGAUGGCAAAACACGCAUGCAUCCUUACUGUACUGUACGUGGUCAGAUAGCCCACCACAAAGCUGCCACGGCGGCGAGCGCCACGACGCAGGACGAAGCAGCUCGGACGCCAGCUGGGGUCCCUCCCGCGCGCGCGGCCGCCGACGCCGUCGUCGUCCCCGCCGCAGUCUCAGCCGCCGGCGCAUCCGCCACAGCAUCCGGCGUGGCCUUCUUCUUCUUCUUGCUCUCCGCCGGGGAAGGGGCCGGCGCGGGGACCGGCGGGCCGUAGAGCGCCCACGGCAGCAGCACCUUGCUGACCUGGUAGACGACGAGCCUGUCCCCGGCGUAAAGCGGCGUGGCGUCGAGCGUGGCGUUGACGACCCCCGUGGAGACGUUGACGCUGGAGCCGUCCGCGGUGAGGUUGAGCGGGUACUUGCCCCUGCCGGUGUCGCCAGCCUGCGUCCGCAGCGGGUUGCUGACGGUCUCGAGCUGCGCGGCGGGGAGCGCCGCGGACACGACGUGGAACUGCACCAGCGACGUCUUCUGCUGGUCGGAGAGGGAGUUGAGCGUGCCGGCGGGGAGCGCGGAGAAGGCGCUGUCGGGCGGCGCGAACACCGUGAGCCCGCCGUUGGACGGCUUGCCCUUGAGCUGGUUGGUGAUCUGCUCCGCCUCCCGCGUCGACUGCAGCAGCUGGAGGAACUUGGUGAACUGCCCGGCCUUGCUCAGGAUCGCCGUGAUGGUCUUGGGCGGCGCGGGGGCUGGGGACGGCGCCGACGCUGCCUGGCCGCACGCCAGCGGCGCCACGGACGUCAGCAGGGCGACGACGGCGAGGAGAAGGGCGGCGGCGAGGCGUGACGCCAUGGUGGGCUAGUUAGUACGUUGUUGACUUGUUGUAUCUAUGUACUAGGUCGAUCCCGUGUGGCGCUGGAUUAUUCUUGAUCUUGAUGCGCAUGCAUAU
rnacentral:misc_RNA from 1 species